UGGAGCAAACAAAUGGCCGCUCCGUCCCGAUAUGUCGGGGCGGGGAGGAAAGUCCGGACAUCCCAAGUUAGAGUUUUAACUUUAAUUUGCGACCAAGGCAAUGGAUAACGUCCAUCAUCCCGCCCCAGUUUUUAUGAAUAACUAAAAUAAUUACGAUAUUAAAUUAGGGACCAUUAUUUUUUAAUAUCUGAUAAUUAUUCACGAAAACUGGAGCGGGAUAGGGAAACCCGCCAAGCAGUCCCGAAGUAUCGGGACAGCUAGGCGGGCCCGCCACAUUGCCGCUUUGCGGCUUUGGGCGGUGGUGCCACAGAGACAAUACUACCCGCCUAAUUGCGUAAGCUAUUGGCGUGGGAAAGGUGAAAAGUGGCGCGAUGUUGAUAUUCAUUUUGAGGAUAUCCUAAUGAAUAUUGGCUACGCGUUUUCCGCGUUGGCGACAACGCGCGAUGGUAAACCCUGCCUGAUGCAAGAGCAAAUUUUUCCCGCAAUACUGCGGGAGAAGGAACGUAGCUCGCUUGACCCCGAUGGCAACAUCGGGGCUAGAUAAAUGGCCAUUCCAAAACCCGCCUAACCGCCUUAGCUGUUGGCGGGCCAGACAGAAUCCGGCUUAUCGUUUGCCCCAUUUA
rfam:Candidatus Falkowbacteria bacterium RIFCSPLOWO2_12_FTLL_45_10 rifcsplowo2_12_scaffold_6846, whole genome shotgun sequence.